GGCAGCAGUGGGGAAUAUUGGACAAUGGGCGAAAGCCUGAUCCAGCCAUGCCGCGUGUGUGAAGAAGGUCUUCGGAUUGUAAAGCACUUUAAGUUGGGAGGAAGGGCAGUAAAUUAAUACUUUGCUGUUUUGACGUUACCGACAGAAUAAGCACCGGCUAACUCUGUGCCAGCAGCCGCGGUAA
rnacentral:rRNA from 1 species